GUAUUCGAGCUUCGCUGAGCCGAACUUGUACUCUUAGAAGCUGAUUUGGAAGCUGCUCUAAUCAAGGCGAGAUCGCAAUCGAGCCUUGGAUUGUCUUCGACUGCCUUGUGAGGACUCUUGGAGGUUACACUUGAGCAGGAUUGAGACCUAGUGGAGCUGAUCUUUGGAACUUCUUGUGACUAUUGGAGCUUAGUACUAGAGCCAUCUGCAGGAGAGGCUAGGGAUCGUGGCAAGGGAG